CCUUCUCUGCCCCCCACUCUCUCCCAACCCUUGUACCAGUGUCAUGUUACUGGAACCCUGGUACAGAGGAUGGAUGAGAAGGAGGCGUGGGACCCCA
rnacentral:pre_miRNA from 1 species